UGGGGAAUAUUGCACAAUGGGCGAAAGCCUGAUGCAGCAACGCCGCGUGAGCGAAGAAGGCCUUUGGGUCGUAAAGCUCUGUCGGGUAGGAAGAUAAUGACGGUACUACCCGAGGAAGCCCCGGCUAACUACGUGCCAGCAGCCGCGGUAAUACGUAGGGGGCGAGCGUUAUCCGGAAUUACUGGGCGUAAAGAGUGCGUAGGUGGCUGCUUAAGCGUGAGGUGAAAGGCAAUGGCUUAACCAUUGUGAGCCUCGCGAACUGGGUGGCUUGAGUGCAGGAGAGGAAAGCGGAAUUCCUAGUGUAGCGGUGAAAUGCGUAGAUAUUAGGAGGAACACCAGUGGCGAAGGCGGCUUUCUGGACUGCAACUGACACUGAGGCACGAAAGCGUGGGGAGCAAACAGG
rnacentral:rRNA from 1 species